UCAACCCAAUCGGACAUCAAACCUACAUAGGUAUUUUUCCACCUAACUCCUGUGAAAGGGCUGGUGUGGCAACCAUGCUCAUAGCACACCACUACAAUCAAGUUCCUCAAAAAUGUAGUUGUAAUUCCUUAAUUUUAAUACACAGCUGAAAAGGGAGCAGGAGGUGGUGGUGCUAUUAUCACCCUACCUUUUAUUUAUUAACCUACUAGAUAGAGAUGUCUCUCAGGAAGUGGGAGAUAUGGGUUUGCUUCUUCAGCCUGAGGGUGCUCAAACCCACGUCUUCUAUUUCCAGGAGAGUGCCCUAAACCAUGAGGCUUUAGGCUAUUCUGGGUGACAGGGAUUCUUCUGCCUUUCCUGUAGAAACUGUGUCACCAUGCAGCCAAAAAUGCAGAAGUCACAGGAGCCAGAAGGAGAGGACAAGUAAGAUGGAGAAUCCCUCUGGAGCUGGAGUAUAGUACAUUUACUACAUGGGAAGGAGCAGACACAUAAACAGCUUUCCCAAACUGACUGCCAGCAAGAGUGCAUCUAGGAUUUUGAAAAAGGAGUGAAGUCAUGAUCAAGCCCUUCACAUCCAUGGCUAAGAGAACAUGUGAGACAGAAACCAAAAGGAGAAUUUAAAUAUUUACAAUAAAAAGUUGCACACUCCAUGUCAGGUGUCACAAGAUGAUGUCCUGCAGCUGAGAUGCAGUUUAGCUGAACUACGCAUGAUCUUGCCAG